GAGUUUGAUCCUGGCUCAGAACGAACGCUGGCGGCGUGGAUAAGACAUGCAAGUCGAGCGGGGCAAACCGUGUAGCAAUACAUUGUUUGUUCAGCGGCGAACGGGUGCGUAACACGUGGGCAACCUGCCCGGAAAUGGGGGAUAGCCCGCCGAAAGGCGGAUUAAUACCGCAUGUGGCCAUUGGAGACAUCUCCGAGACGCCAAAGUCGGGGCAACCUGACGUUUCCGGAUGGGCCCGCGGCCUAUCAGCUUGUUGGCGGGGUAACGGCCCACCAAGGCUAUGACGGGUAGCUGGUCUGAGAGGACGACCAGCCACACUGGAACUGAGACACGGUCCAGACACCUACGGGUGGCAGCAGUCGAGAAUUUUUCUCAAUGGGGGAAACCCUGAAGGAGCGACGCCGCGUGGAGGAUGAAGGUCUUCGGAUUGUAAACUCCUGUCAUUAGAGAACAAGACCCACUUAGUAACUGAUGUUGGGUUCGAUAGUAUCUGAAGAGGAAGAGACGGCUAACUCUGUGCCAGCCGCCGCC
rnacentral:rRNA from 1 species